UACGAGGGGGGCGAGCGUUGUUCGGAAUUAUUGGGCGUAAAGGGUGCGUAGGCGGUUUGGUAAGUCUUGUGUGAAAUCUACAGGCUCAACUUGUAGUCUGCACGAGAAACUGCCGGGCUUGAGUGUGGGAGAGGUGAGUGGAAUUCCUGGUGUAGCGGUGAAAUGCGUAGAUAUCAGGAGGAACACCUGUGGCGAAAGCGGCUCACUGGACCAUAACUGACGCUGAUGCACGAAAGCUAGGGGGAGCAAACAGG
rnacentral:rRNA from 1 species